GAUGAACGCUGACAGAAUGCUUAACACAUGCAAGUCUACUUGAACUUCGGUUUGGGUGGCGGACGGGUGAGUAACGCGUAAAGAACUUGCCUCACAGAUAGGAACAACAUUUGGAAACGAAUGCUAAUACCUGAUAUUAUGAUUUUAGGGCAUCCUAGAAUUAUGAAAGCUAUAUGCACUGUGAGAGAGCUUUGCGUCCCAUUAGCUAGUUGGAGAGGUAACGGCUCACCAAGGCGAUGAUGGGUAGCCGGCCUGAGAGGGUGAUCGGCCACAAGGGGACUGAGACACGGCCCUUACUCCUACGGGAGGCAGCAGUGGGGAAUAUUGGACAAUGGACCAAGAGUCUGAUCCAGCAAUUCUGUGUGCACGAUGAAGUUUUUCGGAAUGUAAAGUGCUUUCAGUUGGGAAGAAAAAAAUGACGGUACCAACAGAAGAAGUGACGGCUAAAUACGUG
rnacentral:rRNA from 1 species